rnacentral:rRNA from 1 species
UCUGUUUGUGAGUAUAAAAAGUCUAACCUGCCCACYGAUAUUGAAAAUUUAAGGGCCGCGGUAUUAUGACUGUGCAAAGGUAGCAUAAUCAUUAGGUUUUUAAAUGGAAUCUUGUAUGAAUGGUUGAACAAGAGAGAAACUGUCUUUAGUAUUAGAUUUGAAUUUAACUUUUAAGUGAGAAGGCUUAAAUAUUCUAGAGGGACGAUAAGACCCUAUAAAACUUUACAUUGUAAUUAUAUUUUAUAGAAUUUUAAUAAUAAUAAUUUAUUUAGUUAUUUUGUUUUGUUGGGGAGACAAAAGUAAAAAUUAUACUAACUGCUUUAUAUAAAASCAAUUAUAAAUGAGUUUAAUAAGUAAAGAUCCUAAUUAUUGAUUUAAAGAUUAAGUUACUUUAGGGAUAACAGUGUUAUUUUUUUUAAGAGUUCAUAUCGAAAAAAAAGUUUGCAACCUCGAUGUUGAAUUAGNAUAUCUAUAUAANGCAGCUGUUA